rnacentral:lncRNA from 1 species
GAAAGGCUGAGAGGUAAUAAUAAUAACAAUAAAACUAGACAAAAAAGAAUCCAAGAGGGGAGAGGCUUUCAGUAACAACAGAAUUAGCAGCCAUGUUGAACACAGUCCAGAGGUUGAGAAGGGAGGAAGAUGAUCCAUACAGCUUGUCAGAGAGCAGGACAAAUGACUUUCAGGACAAUGUCAGGGUAGUGGCCUGAGAAGAAGCUAGAUUGGCAUGAAGAAGAAGUCAGAGGUGGAAGCAGUGCCUGGAGGCAACACGCAGGACUGAGCAGAGGAUUGAGACAGCACCCAGAAGUAGCUGAAUAAGGUUAUUCCUACUUGGAGAGAAAUGUACAUGUUGAAGGGGAUGGUGUUCAUUAUUCUCUACACUCUAUCUCACCCAGCCUCACCUCCAAGCCUUUUUUCCUUCUGGGAAUUCUUGGCAGGAUACAGAGAAACAGAGCUGCUGGUAAAAUAUGAAGCACAGGAGUCAAAUGUAGAUCUUUGCCUUUGGCCACUGUGCCUGCCUGAUAAAGACCAGCCACUGUCCCAGCUGUGCCAUCAUGAUCCUGGAAGAGUCCCAGCUUGGGCUGCCUGAGAUCCGAUGUCAUUCAAGUGCAUUUGACUUUGGGUUGGAAACUCUCCUAAUGAAGUCUAAAUGAGGCACUUCCUCAUUACCUUUGAUACUUCUGACACGGCACAUCACCUCUAAGUGGCAAUGUGAGGAAUUAGUGCUUUGUCUAAUAAGGCAGAGAUGGAUAGAUGAGAAAGAAAUAUCAUUUAAGUCAAAACUAAGAUGCAUAACACAUUACAAGAUGAAUUCAUUGUAGUUAAACACUCCAUAUUUAAAAAGAAAAUUGAAAAACAUCAAAAGUCUGUUUUUGCAUGUCUGUAACUGAG